GACGAACGCUGGCGGCGUGCUUAACACAUGCAAGUCGAGCGAUUAAGCUUCUUCGGAAGGGGAUGAGCGGCGGACGGGCGAGUAACACGUGGGCAACUUGCCUUGGAGAGGGGGAGAGCCUUCCGAAAGGAAGAUUAAUACCGCAUAACAUAGCGAACGCGCAUGGGGUUGCUAUCAAAGAUUUAUGGCUACAAGAUGGGCCCGCGUAGCAUUGGCUAGUUGGGGAGGUAACGGCUGCCCAAGGCCACGAUGCGUAGCCGACCUGAGAGGGUGAUCGGCCACAUUGGAACUAAGACCCGGUCCAGACUCCUACGGGAGGCAGCAGUGGGAAUAUUGCACAAUGGGCGAAAGCCUGAUGCAGCAACGCCGCGUGAGUGAUGAAGGUCUUCGGAUUGUAAAGCUCUUUGAUUAGGGACGAUAAUGACGGUACCUAAAGAACAAGCCACGGCUAACUACGUGCCAGCCGCCGCGGUAA
rnacentral:rRNA from 1 species